rnacentral:misc_RNA from 1 species
GAAGUUUUUGCCUUUUCCAAAGAAGAUUCUCGUCGUGUACAAUCGAUUAUACAAUAUCAUCGCGCUUCACGAUGAGCCGCAACAAAAAGGAAAAAGUCACGACUCGUGCGCCAAUGCACAAGCGCGCAAGAACUCAACUGAUUAUCUAAUAUCGUGCUACCUAACUAUAUAUUCACCAUGAAGAGGAUCUUCUGAAUGGAGAAAUAACUUAACGAAACCUGAUCAACAGAAAUUUCACUGAAAUUCAUUGCUUUCGCUCUUGUCGUUGUCGUUGUCUAUGCAGCACCUCAAGGACGUCAAGAAGAAGUAGUACUCGUCAAAGAAACACCCUCAGAUAAUAUUGGCUUAGGUGGCUAUAGAUAUGCCUACGAACUUUCCAACGGUCAAUCUCAUCAGGAAGUAGCGGAAUUAGUUAACGAAGGAACUGAAAAUGAAGCUUUAACUGUUCGAGGCAGUUAUAGUUGGGUGGAACCACAAAGUAAUACAGUAUAUACUGUAAACUACGUGGCUGACGAGAAUGGUUUCCAUCCUGU